GACGAACGCUGGCGGCGUGCUUAACACAUGCAAGUCGAACGGAAAGGCCCUGCUUUUGUUGGGUGCUCGAGUGGCGAACGGGUGAGUAACACGUGAGUAACCUGCCCUUGACUUUGGGAUAACUUCAGGUAACUGUGGCUAAUACCGGAUAGGACCUCCUGCUGCUUGGUGGGGGUUGGAAAGUUUCGGCGGUUGGGGAUGGACUCGCUGCUUAUCAGCUUGUUGGUGUGGUAGUGGGUUACCAAGGUUUUGACGGGUAGCCGGCCUGAGAGGGUGACCGGCCACAGUGGGCCUGGGGAGCGGGCAGUAGUCCUACGGGGGGCAGAAGUGGGGGUUAUUGCGAGAUGGGCGGAAGGAGUGUGGAGCAACGCCGCGUGCGGGAUGACGGCCUUAGGGUUGUAAACCGCUUUCGCGUGUGACGAAGCGUGAGUGACGGUAAUGGGUAAAGAAGCACCGGCUAACUACGUG
rnacentral:rRNA from 1 species